GCUCUAUGCUACCUAUAAAGGGAAGGAAAAAAGGAAUAAGUAUAAUACCCACCAGGUGCCAAGUGUUGUGCUAAGCAUUUUACAGUUUAUUCACAAAAUAUUAACUUACAAUAACUUACAAAAUAUUAUCUCAUUUGAUCCUCUCAACAACCCUGUAAGGCUUGUGCCAUUAUCAUCCCCAUUUUGUUGUUGAGGAAACUGAGACACACAGAAGUUUCUUCAACAAACCAAGCCAAAAAUGAUAUCCAAUAGAAGGCACAGAUAACGUCUGUAGCUAUUGUGAAACAUUGUAACUGUGGGAAAAGUCCCAUCUUCCAAACAGCCUAACUAGAAGCCACUGGGAAAGGAAUGAGCUGUGCUGGAAAGAGAACGGUGCUGAUGAGAAUCACCAAAGUCCAUGGCAAGACAAAAGUCAAGAUGAUUGGUUCAGUGUUUGACCAAUCUCUAAGUGCUCUGCAGCAACUGCUUCAGCUACCUUCAUGAACACUGGAAUAAAUCGUUCUCAUCUGCCCA
rnacentral:lncRNA from 1 species